rnacentral:rRNA from 1 species
AACGAACGCUGGCGGCAUGCCUAAUACAUGCAAGUCGAACGAGAUCUUCGGAUCUAGUGGCGCACGGGUGCGUAACGCGUGGGAAUCUGCCCUUGGGUUCGGAAUAACAGUUAGAAGUGACUGCUAAUACCGGAUGAUGACGUAAGUCCAAGGAUUUAUCGCCCAAGGAUGAGCCCGCGUAGAAUUAGCUUGUUGGUGAGGUAAAAGCUCACCAAGGCGACGAUCCUUAGCUGGUCUGAGAGGAUGAUCAGCCACACUGGGACUGAGACACGGCCCAG